UGGGUCUUCCCAUCACGGCAUCAAUCCAGUAGGACACUGGACUUGGAAGGGCUUGGUUGGUCCACCCUGGUGACUGAGUAGCCUCCCUUCCUAUUGCCCACGCACCUAGAGCCAGAUGGAUGUCAGGAAGGAUACACUCAAUUUCUCGGGAAUUGCCGGCUGACUUGAUUCCUCUACCUGAUUGCCAGUAUCAAGCUUGUCCACCCGAGUCAGAGCCCAGCACGGUGCCUGACAGACUGCAGAGCCGAGUAAUGUGGGCCGAGCAGCGGCUCCCCAACAAAUGUGCCAGCCGGAGCCCACAAGUGCCCCGGGGUGAGCCUCUUCAGACAAAAGGGAUCUUCACAGAUAGAAUGGAUGAGGUCAUCUUGGAUUCCCCAGAUGUCACAGCCAGUGACAGG